AGUCGUGCGGUAGUCCUCCGCAAGGGGGGCGAGAGCGGCGAAAGGGAGAGUAACGCGUGGGUAACCUACCCCCGGGACCGGGAUAGCCGCGGGAAACUGCGGGUAAUACCGGAUAACGUCUCCGGACCAAAAGGUGUGAUUCCGCCUGGGGAGGGGCCCGCGUCCUAUUAACUAGUUGGUGAGGUAAUGGCUCACCCAGGGGAAAAAGGGUACGGGGUGUGAAAACCUGCCCCCGCUCACUGGGACUGAAACACUGGCCAGACACCUACGGGUGGCUGCAGUCGAGGAUCUUCGGCAAUGGGCGAAAGCCUGACCGAGCGACGCCGCGUGCGGGAUGAAGGCCUUCGGGUUGUAAACCGCUGUCAGAGGGGAGGAAAUGUCGGGGUGUAAUAAAUAAUCGCCCUGGCCUGACCUAUCCUCAGAGGAAGGACGGGCCAAGUUCGUGCCAGCAGCCGCGGUAAGACGAACCGACCAAACGUUAUUCGGAAUCACUGGGCUUAAAGGGUGCGUAGGCGGCUCGGCAAGUUGGGUGUGAAAGCCCUCGGCUCAACCGGGGAACUGCGCCCAAAACUGCCGGGCUAGAGGGAGACAGAGGUGAGCGGAACUUAUGGUGGAGCGGUGAAAUGCUUUGAUAUCCUAAGGAACACCGGUAGCGAAAGCGGCUCACUGGGUCUUUGCUGACGCUGAGGCACGAAAGCUAGGGGAGCGAACGGGAUUAGAUACCCCGGUAGUCCUAGCCCUACACGAUGAGCACU
rnacentral:rRNA from 1 species